AAAAAAAAAUAAAACAGAGAACAAAUAAUGAAAAAUCUAUAAAUAUUCUAUAUAAUAUAUAAAGUGAGAUAUUAAAAUGUCCUCACGCUGGUGAGACAUGCACCAAAUUUGAACACAAACUUUGCAAAACAAACAAACUGUGGAGUGGAAAAAAAAGUUUUGUUUCAUUUUGAUUUUUUAAAAAAAUAAGAAAAAAGAAAAAAUUGAAUAUAAAAUGAAAAUUAAAGAGCGGGCAGAGAGCUGAGGUCUGGCGUUUCCCAAUAUUGCAUUGCAUGAGUCCCUAUUCCGUGAUUUUGUGGAUUCUUUGUGAACAGUUUGUGUUCUUCCUUCCUUCCUUCCCUUCCAAAAUCAACAGCGACAAAAACAGCAACAAAAACCAAAAAGAGACCAGAAGGAGCUCCAUCUUUUGGGCUGUUUUUGCAAACGGAGUCUUCCAGUUUAGACUUUUACCCAGUUGAAGGCCCGUUCACAUUUUCACUCACUAAAAGGUUUUACCACACAUUGCAUUGUAAACCGAAGUCGUUAAUUGUACAGAGAAAAUUUCUAUAUUUGCAAUGUUUGCUGUAUAAUGAGAAAGAGAGAGGAGAAAAAAAAAAUACUACAUCUACUAAAAAAAAAAAAAUAUAUAUAUAUAUCUAUAUUCACCUGUUUGUACCAGGUUUUAAUCAUGGAUUUUAGAGAAAGAGAUGGAGUUUUGUUUGAAGGACUUUUUUGUUGGUUGGUUGGCUGAUGGGGUAUCUUUUGGAGGGGGGAGUGUUUGGAUUUCUAAGUACUUGGUUUUGAUUUCUUCCACCAAUUGUCUGUGUCCAAGUUCUCAUCACUUCCAAGUGCAUUGAAGAAAAAAGGCACGUACCCAGGAAAAUAGAAUCCCUCACCUUAUUCCAGGUGGGAGACCAUCACCACCAGGAACUGGGAAGGGGAUGAGAAGUGAAGGGCUCUGGGUUCUGCAGGUGCCACCACGCAAUGGGAUUUCUCCUGCAAAUUAAAAGGACAGCUGGUUCUGCAAAGAGAAGUGACACCUUGUCCAGCCAGGCUGCUCCUGCUGCCCUAAACUCAUCCAAAAGAAGAGGAUUCCCCACCAAGCAGAAAGGAGAGGGCACAGGAAAGGCAUGUUGGAGUGAAGAGGAGGGGAAGCUAGGGGAAAAAAAUCACAGUUCCCUGCAGUGCAGUCACAGUCCUGGGGCCAUGGGGAAAUGCAUUCUGCUGAUGCCCUUUCUGUAUCCACAAAGCUGCUGUUGUCUCAACCACCUGUCUUCAAGGGCAAAACCAAGGCAGCAUGAAAAAUCCCUCCCCCAGCAAGGACAGCUUCUAGCUGGAGAGUAAAUCCAAGCCCACAUUUACCCAUGGCUCAAUCCUCACUCUGGCCCAGAGUCAGCAAAGGACCCUGCCACAUGUUACAAAGUCUGUGUGGCACCUAGAGCCUGGAUAUUAUUAAAAAACCUGUAAAUUAGGACAGAAACAUCCCUUCAUAUAGACAUGCACCAUUUAAGCCCAGGAUUCCUGAGGGCACCUGCCAGCCCUGGUGUGCACACCAGGCGUGCCCAUCUGUUCCCAAGCAUGGCCUGUGGGAAGGGCUGUGUUCACAGACAGAAACGUGGAGUAGCACAGGGUGGCAGGGGUGGCAGGCACUGCGUGCCCAGCUACCUCCCCGAUGCAGCAAGGCACUUGAGAGGGGAGGUAGCUGGGGGCUGCCUUCUUCUUCAGAGCUCAUGGGUGUUGGAUGUGCGAACUGUCCUCCUCCCCGCCCACCAUUUGAGCCUCCUGAUGGCUUCAGCUGAGUUUGCCAUGAAACCAGGUGCAGAUCCCAUGGGAGGGGUCAGUGAGGAUGCACGGGGGCCCUAAGAAGAGGUGUUCCCAGGCAGCGCCCUGACACAGACAACAGACAGACUGCGUUGGCUCUGCUCAGAUCAAGCCAGUGACCUGCAGUGCUUCCUGGGUGCUGGCACCUUUCCUAGGGCUGCCGGGGAGCCUUCUCUCUUCCAGCCGCAUUGAUCCUUAUGGAUCAGGCCAUGCAUCAACACCUUGGUGAUGGCAGAGCCAGAGCAGAGCCCUGGGCUCCAGCAGCCCAGCCAGCUCCUCCUCCUGCGUGUUCCCCCACUCCCAACCACGGCAGCCACCUCCCCUCCAAAUGCUGCCCUCUGCCCAUUUGUGAGGUCAGUCCUUCCCUGAAUCAGGCCAGAGAUCCCCAUACUCAUCUCGGCGGUGGAUGUGGCUCUGCAGAAAUCGGGAGCAGCGGCACACCCCCCUGGCCGGGCGCCGGCGGCAGCCGGGCUGCCCGUCGGGCUGUGGAGCAAUAAAUCACCUCGUCUGCAGGAGAAGGGGUCAGCAGGGGUGGAGGACAGUGCGGUGGAGGUGGCCUCACCACACAAAUCCUUUGGGCGAGGAGGGGUCCGGGCAGGCAGGGGAGGGAUGCGCUGCGGCGCGGCUGGCCCAGACCCAGGAGCGCGGAUCGAUGAGGGUGAUUGAAGCCAGCACGCACUGCGUUGGGCUAUUUUUAGCGCAGCCAGCGGAGCAGGAAUUUGGGAGCCCAAGUCAGAAUUUAUUUGCAUCUGUGAAUGCUCGUCGGGGGGAGGACCAACAACAACACCCCACCCGGGUGCAGCAGCGCCCUGCAGCGCGUUUUGGGACCUGCUCACCUUGGCUUCAGCUCUUCUUCAGUGCACAUCGUGUCCCUCUUCUCUGCAGUGCCCUUUGGGGACAGUGUCAACCCCCCAAAGCUUGGAGCUGUGAGCACGUGGAUGCACAUGGACACGGGAUGGGGACAGAGCAGAGGAGAGGGCAGGGGAUGGACUUCAGGGGGUGAAGGGUUUAUUUGGGAAAAGCACUGAUCCUACCUUGAAUGCGUGGGGUGUGUCAACAGGUCUUGUAGCAUGGCUGCAACACUGCCGUGGCCAGGCAGGUGUGGACUUCAGAGGUGCCCCAGCCUCUCCUCCAGCUCCUCUCUCCCCAUUUCCUCACCACAGGCUUUCCGCCAUGGGCCCAGGGUCAGUUUUUCUGGGUAAGGGUUCUGAGAUGAAAUUGUUCUCCAGAGAGAGGUGUACAGCACCUUUCCUUUCCUUCACCUCCAACCCCCUGGUGCCAGCAGUACCCAAGGCACUGAAGGUGGUGAAGGUGCUGGUGGGCACGGCCAGCGCUGCUGGAGAAACCAACCCAACUCCUUGGCUUGGAGCAGUGACUUCGGCUUCACCUGAAUUUACUUAGGCUCCAAUUUUUCAUGUCUCCUCUGUGUCACAGCCUCUGUUUCACCCCUCUCAACCAGCUCACCAGCACCACCAGAAGGGUGGUAGAGAUUAUACAAAUGCGGCCUUGAGACUUCUGCUCAUUUCCACCUUCCCCCUCCCCGGCCCAGAACUUAAUGGAGGAAAACCACCUGAUCGAGAGUGAAGCCAGUUUUCUGGACCCAGUUUCCUCUGUACAAGGGAUGAGAAGACACAGAAGUACCAGGGAUGUGGAUUUUCAACACGUGGGGAGUAGCCAAACAGGAUGUCAGUUUUUACUUCAGUUUUGCUGCCCUUUCUUUUGGUUCAAAUCCAAUGUGAACAUGCCUAUUUCCAUCCCUCUGCAACCUCCCUGUCCCUGCAGAGUAACCAGAGGAGCCUGCCAAGUCUCCAAGUUUGUGUGUGUGCCUUUUCAAUAAUUCAGUGGGAACGCUAAUCACACGGUUGUGCUGUUGUUCCUCUACGAGCCGAUCGCUUCUCACAUCCCACCAACAUCUGUUUUUUCACACCCAGCUCAGCUGUCUGGCAAUAGCCAUUUGCUGCUCACCUUUACUUGCCUUGCCAUUAAAGAGCUCAUUAAUGUA